UUGGGAAUCUUGCACAAUGGGCGAAAGCCUGAUGCAGCGACGCCGCGUGCGGGAUGAAGGCCUUCGGGUUGUAAACCGCUUUCAGCAGGGACGAGGCCGCAAGGUGACGGUACCUGCAGAAGAAGCCCCGGCUAACUACGUGCCAGCAGCCGCGGUAAUACGUAGGUGGCGAGCGUUAUCCGGUUUUACUGGGCGUAAAGGGCGUGUAGGCGGCUAGAUAAGUGUGAUGUUUAAAUCCAAGGCUUAACCUUGGGGUUCAUUACAAACUGUUUGGCUUGAGUGCUGGAGAGGGAAGUGGAAUUACUAGUGUAGCGGUAAAAUGCGUGGAUAUUAGGGGGAACAACGGUGGCGAAGGCGGGUAGCUGGACGGUAACUGACGCUGGGGGGCGAAAGCGUGGGGGGGAAACAGG
rnacentral:rRNA from 1 species